UGGGGAAUAUUGGACAAUGGGCGCAAGCCUGAUCCAGCCAUGCCGCGUGAGUGAUGAAGGCCCUAGGGUUGUAAAGCUCUUUCACCGGUGAAGAUAAUGACGGUAACCGGAGAAGAAGCCCCGGCUAACUUCGUGCCAGCAGCCGCGGUAAUACGAAGGGGGCUAGCGUUGUUCGGAUUUACUGGGCGUAAAGCGCACGUAGGCGGACUUUUAAGUCAGGGGUGAAAUCCCGGGGCUCAACCCCGGAACUGCCUUUGAUACUGGAAGUCUUGAGUAUGGUGGAGGUGGGUGGAAUUCCGAGUGUAGAGGUGAAAUUCGUAGAUAUUCGGAGGAGCACCAGUGGCGAAGGCGGCUCACUGGGCCAUUACUGACGCUGAGGUGCGAAAGAGUGGGGAGCAAACAGG
rnacentral:rRNA from 1 species